rfam:Bartonella taylorii 8TBB genomic scaffold supercont1.3, whole genome shotgun sequence.
UGUCGGGUGUGGUUACGCUAUACAAUACCCUUACGGGAAAAGCGUAACGACGGACUAUUGGCCGUGUUUUUCAGCACCCGGCACUCUUUUC